AUUGAACGCUGGCGGCAGGCUUAACACAUGCAAGUCGAACGAGUGGCGGACGGGUGAGUAAUGCUUGGGAAUCUAGCUUAUGGAGGGGGAUAACUCCGGGACACUGUAGCUAAUACCGCGUACCAUAGGAUGAGCCCAAGUGGGAUUAGGUAGUUGGUGGGGUAAAGACUCACCAAGCCGACGAUCUCUAGCUGGUCUGAGAGGAUGACCAGCAACACUGGGACUGAGACACGGCCCAGAAUCGUACGGGAGUCAGCAGUGGGGAAGAGUGCGCAAUGGGGGACACCUGACGCAGCCAUGCCGCGUGAAUGAAGAAGGCCUUCGGGUUGUAAAGUUCUUUCGGUAGCGAGGCGUUAACUACAGAAGAAGCACCGGCUAACUCCGUGCCAGCAGCCGCGGUAAUAC
rnacentral:rRNA from 1 species